rnacentral:rRNA from 1 species
UGGGGAAUAUUGCACAAUGGGCGCAAGCCUGAUGCAGCCAUGCCGCGUGUGUGAAGAAGGCCUUCGGUUGUAAAGCACUUUCAGCGAGGAGGAAGGUGGUGAGCUUAAUACGCUCAUCAAUUGACGUUACUCGCAGAAGAAGCACCGGCUAACUCCGUGCCAGCAGCCGCGGUAAUACGGAGGGUGCAAGCGUUAAUCGGAAUUACUGGGCGUAAAGCGCACGCAGGCGGUUUGUUAAGUCAGAUGUGAAAUCCCCGGGCUCAACCUGGGAACUGCAUUUGAAACUGGCAAGCUAGAGUCUCGUAGAGGGGGGUAGAAUUCCAGGUGUAGCGGUGAAAUGCGUAGAGAUCUGGAGGAAUACCGGUGGCGAGGGCGGCCCCCUGGACGAAGACUGACGCUC